AAGAACAUGGAGAUUUUGCAAUUUGAGCUGAGGCAGGCAGGAGCUCUUUGGCAGGAGAAGAGGCCUCCCGAGGGCUUGGAGGUGAACAGCAGAGCCACCAAGGACAGUGUGCAGGAAUCAGAGUGAUGUUCUCUCUCAUGGGAAGAGGAAGCCAUACAACAACUACACCAGGGCAGAACCCUCCAUGGGAGACAACAGCUUAUAAACUGCUGGGACUACCAGAAAACACAACAAGCCCCGUGAACCACUGGAAGGAGCCCGCCAGCUGCAGAAAGGCAGUGAGAGGAUCAAAAGAGCAACGUCCCAGGCAUUCCUGAUGUCCUGCAGAUCUUCAGCAAGAACUGUGGAGGAACAGAGCAAGAAAAGCUAGACAUUGCUUCCUGUGCACAUCAGAUAAGGCAGAGUCUUUGCCUUCCCUGCAUAUGCAUGAAGCCCACAUUGCCUUUCAGGACUUUGUGCAAAAGUCCAAGAAGCGCAAAGCUGCAAAGAAAUGCUGCCGCCUACAUGCUGCCCCAGUUUCCCCAGGCAAGGGGUGAUGAUCUGGUGAAGCCACUGAAUCCCUGCCAGCAGGGAUUCGGAUCCAGAAGCAGGCAAGAGCACCAGAGCAGCUGUGGUGCUCUGGAUCAAAGCCCACCAUCUGAUGGACUGUCACCGGCAGCCGGUGGAAGCAAGCACCCAGGGAGGAAAGCAAAAGCGGGAUCUUUCCUCAGAGCCAAAAGGCUGUAACCAGAUAACCAACACAUUUUUUCCCUGUCUCCAUGGCUUAGUAAAGCAUUAGGAGAUCCUCUGAGAAGCACUAUAAAUGCUGAAACUGGAUUCAGAAUGAAAGUCUACCUGCUCUCAGAGACAGUCUCGCAUCUGCUUUGUCUGUGCCCCAUCCAGCCACGAGCAAGCUGCACCUGGAAGCCACAGA